rnacentral:rRNA from 1 species
AUUAAAGACCAAUGCCCUUCGGGGCUCAAUGGUGAAUCAUGAUAACUAAACGAAACGCAUCGCCUUGCGCUGGCGAUGGUUCAUUCGAAUUUUGCCCUAUCAACUUCGAUGGUAGGAUAGAGGCCUACCAUGGUGUCAACGGGUAACGGGGGAAUUAGGGUUCUAUUCCGGAGGAGGGAGCCUGAGAACGGCUACCACAUCCGAAGGAAGGCAGCAGGGCGCAAAUUAUCCAAUGGGGACACCCUGACGAUAGUGACGAAUAAUACUGAUAUAGGGCUCCUUUGGGUCUUAUAAUUGAAUGAGUACAAUACAAACACCUUAACGAGGAACAAUUGGAGGGCAAGGUCUGGUGCCAGCAGCCGCGGUAAUUCCAAGCUCCAAUAGCGUAAAUUAAAGUUGUUGCAGUUAAAAAGCUCGUUGUUAAACCUUGGGUCUGGCGAUCUGUCUUCCUCACGGUUUGCGGGCUCGGUCGGGCCUUUCCUUCUGAGGAAUCCUAUGCUCCUUGCUUGAGCGUAGC